CUGUCUCCAACAAAGGCUCAGCGAAAUUGAAUUCCCCGUGAAGAUGCGGGGUUCCCGCGGUCAGACGGAAAGACCCCGUGCACCUUUACUGCAACUUUACACUGGCAUUAGGAAUGGGAUGUGUAGGAUAGGUGGUAGGCAUUGAAGCGAGGCGCUAGCCUUUGUGGAGCCGUCCUUGAAAUACCACCCUUUGUGUUCCUGAUGUCUAACCGCGACCCUGAACGGGAUCCGAGACAGCGUAUGGUAGGCAGUUUGACUGGGGCGGUCGCCUCCCAAAGAGUAACGGAGGCGCGCGAUGGUAGGCUCAAUCCGGUCGGAAAUCGGAUGUUGAGUGCAAUGGCAAAAGCCUGCCUGACUGCAAGGCGACGGCCAAGCAGAGACGAAAGUCGGUCAUAGUGAUCCGGUGGUCCCGCGUGGAAGGGCCAUCGCUCAACGGAUAAAAGGUACUCCGGGGAUAACAGGCUGAUGCCCAAGAGUCCAUAUCGACGGCGGUUUGGCACCUCGAUGUCGGCUCAUCACAUCCUGGGGCUGGAGCAGGUCCCAAGGGUAUGGCUGUUCGCCAUUU
rnacentral:ncRNA from 1 species